rnacentral:miRNA from 1 species
AGUAAUAUUCCAUUGUAUGUGUGUUUGUGUGUGUGUGUGUGUAUAUAUAUACACACACACACACACACACACACACACACACACAUACCACAUUUU